GGAGAAGAUCAAGGAGAUCAGUGACCGUCAGCCAGAGAACCAGCAGGAGCCGCCUGCGGAGGCACCGGGUGACACGGYGCCGGGUGACACGGCGGGUGACGCGGAGGUGACGUCGGAGCUGCGGCCCCUCAUGCUCUGGUUGGCCAACGCCACCGAGC